ACUAACAAGGAUUCCCCUAGUAACUGCGAGUGAAGCGGGAAAAGCUCAAAUUUAAAAGCUGGCGGUCUUUGGCCGUCCGCAUUGUAAUCUAGAGAAGUGUUACCCGCGUUGGACCGUGUACAAGUCUCCUGGAAUGGAGCGUCAUAGAGGGUGACAAUCCCGUCUUUGACACGGACUCCCAAGGCUUUGUGGUGCGCUCUCAAAGAGUCGAGUUGUUUGGGAAUGCAGCUCUAAAUGGGUGGUAAAUUCCAUCUAAAGCUAAAUAUUGGCGAGAGACCGAUAGCGAACAAGUACCGUGAGGGAAAGAUGAAAAGAACUUUGGAAAGAGAGUUAAACAGUACGUGAAAUUGCUGAAAGGGAAACGCUUGAAGUCAGUCGCGUCGUCCGGAGAUCAACCUUGCUUUUGCUGGGCGUACUCUCCGGUUGACGGGCCAGCAUCAGUUUUGGCCACUGGAAAAGGGCGGAGGAAAUGUGGCAUCUUCGGAUGUGUUAUAGUCUUCCGUCGUAUACAGUGGCUGGGACUGAGGAACUCAGCACGCCGCAAGGCCGGGAUUUAUCCACGUACGUGCUUAGGAUGCUGGCAUAAUGGCUUUAAUCGACCCGUCUUGAAACACGGACCAAGGAGUCUAACAUGCCUGCGAGUGUUUGGGUGGAAAACCCGAGCGCGUAAUGAAAGUGAAAGUUGAGAUCCCUGUCGUGGGGAGCAUCGACGCCCGGACCAGACCUUUUGUGACGGAUCUGCGGUAGAGCAUGUAUGUUGGGACCCGAAAGAUGGUGAACUAUGCCUGAAUAGGGUGAAGCCAGAGGAAACUCUGGUGGGGGCUCGUAGCGAUUCUGACGUGCAAAUCGAUCGUCAAAUUUGGGUAUAGGGGCGAAAGACUAAUCGAC
rnacentral:rRNA from 1 species